UACAGAGGCCUCAAGCGUUAAUCGGAAUCACUGGGCUUAAAGGGUGCGUAGGCGGCGCUGCAAGUGCCUUGUGAAAUCCCAUGGCUUAACCAUGGAACUGCUCGGUAGACUGCAGCGCUUGAGGUUGGUAGGGGCUGCCGGAACUCUAGGUGGAGCGGUGAAAUGCGUAGAUAUCUAGAGGAACGCCCAAGGCGAAGGCAGGCAGCUGGGCCAAUUCUGACGCUGAGGCACGAAAGCGUGGGGAGCAAACGGG
rnacentral:rRNA from 1 species